rnacentral:rRNA from 1 species
UGGGGGAUAUUGCACAAUGGGCGAAAGCCUGAUGCAGCGACGCCGCGUGGGGGAUGAAGGCUUUCGGGUUGUAAACCUCUUUCGCUAUCGAACAAGGCCCGCUUAGGGUGGGUGGGGGGGAGGUGGAGAAGAAGCGCCGGCUAACUACGUGCCAGCAGCCGCGGUAAUACGUAGGGCGCGAGCGUUGUCCGGAAUUAUUGGGCGUAAAGGGCUUGUAGGCGGCUUGUUGCGCCUGCUGUGAAAACGCGGGGCUUAACUUCGCGCGUGCAGGGGGUACGGGCAGGCUUGAGUGUGUAAGGGGGGACUGGAAUGCCAGGUGUAGCGGUGGAAUGCGCAGAUAUCUGGAGGAACACCGAUGGCGAAGGCAGGUCACUGGGCCAUUACUGACGCUGAGGAGCGAAAGCAUGGGUAGCGAACAGG